CUUGAGGGAGCCCAGGCGCAGCGGCCGGUCCUCCGGCCGGUCCUGCCCGUACGUGGCCAGCAGCGCCUGCGCCUC
rnacentral:antisense_RNA from 1 species